UACGUAGGGUGCGAGCGUUAAUCGGAAUUACUGGGCGUAAAGCGUGCGCAGGCGGCUUUGCAAGACAGAUGUGAAAUCCCCGGGCUUAACCUGGGAACUGCAUUUGUGACUGCAUGGCUGGAGUGUGGCAGAGGGGGAUGGAAUUCCGCGUGUAGCAGUGAAAUGCGUAGAUAUGACGGAGGAACACCGAUGGCGAAGGCAUCCCCUGGGCCUGCACUGACGCUCAUGCACGGAAAGCGUGGGGAGCAAACAGG
rnacentral:rRNA from 1 species